rnacentral:misc_RNA from 1 species
UACGGAGGGUGCGAGCGUUGCUCGGAAUUAUUGGGCGUAAAGGGGAGGUAGGUGGUCCUGUUUGUCUGGGGUGAAAUCCCUGAGCUCAACUCAGGAAGUGCCUCAGAAACGGCAGGACUAGAGUCCUGGAGAGGGUUGUGGAAUUCCCGGUGUAGCGGUGAAAUGCGUAGAGAUCGGGAGGAACACCAGAGACGAAGGUGGCAACCUGGACAGGGACUGACACUCAACUCCGAAAGCGUGGGGAGCAAACAGG